AUUGCAGAAUUCAGUGAAUCAUUGAAUCUUUGAACGCAUCUUGCACCUUUUGGUAUUCCAAAAGGUACACCUGUUUGAGUGUCAUGA
rnacentral:rRNA from 1 species